CCCGCAACUACAUCAUGGCGGAAUGCGGGAGUCGGAGCUUGGUUAUGGUGUUAUGGUAGAAAACUAUCGAAACAACAGAACUUUAUUUAAACAAGUAUUAAUACAAUGAACAUAAAUUAUUGUUUCCCAAAGUUAUAAUUAAUUGUGCAAUUGUGGCAAGUCAUAGUGAUUGUUGCACCCGAUGUGUUAGUUUAGAGCUGUUGUUGGUGAAGAUAAGGUUGAUGGAAAUGCAGCUGUGACUCGACUGAUAAAGCCACAGAAGUUGAAGAUGUGGAAGGCCCUUGGAGCAUAUCUGCGAUUGACCUUUUGAGUACCAGUGAAUCCUCAAUGUAACCUUCUGCUACCGUUGCAGAUUUCCAACCCCCAUCUUGUUUUAGUUGUAGUGUGUUACCGCCACUAGCCGCUAAAAUAGUGGCAGAAGUUCUUCGAAAGCUAUGACUAGUGAAGGGGCAGCAGUUCGUCGUUUAACUGCUCUGCAGCUUCCCGCAUUUCAGGCAGUGUAUAAUUAAUUUCUAACAUAUUAUCCUUAUU